GUUAGAAUCUUGAAUAAAGGGAAUCGUGGAAGCAAGAAGAGAGGAGAAGAUGGGCUUUCAAAACAGGAACGGGUUGCUUUAGUUUUGUUUUUUGUUCUGUUUUUCGCAAGGACCCAGGGGGAGGCCAAAGAUCACCUUAGAAGGAUUAAUAAAGAACGUGCUGAAGAAGUUUGUUGCUCUCUUUGGGAAAGUGGAACUGAAAGCGGCGAGGCUUUGUUGCAAGGAGGAAGCCUUUUGGCAGCCCACCUGCCCCCCCUCCCCCAGCUGCAACGAAGGACCUGAGAGGCGGAAGUCUCAUCCAACGCCGUGAGGACCGCCUUAGAAAUGAAGUCUCCCUAAAACCUGGGACUGGUGAGACAAGCAAGCGUUUGGGGGAGAGAAGAUUGAUGUAUGUACUAAUCUGUUACUAGUAUUUACACCCUGUCCUUCAAGCAACUGUAUUUCCAACAUGCUUUGGCUUCCUUAUUUACAAAAAAUCUGCAAUCAAUUUAGUUUGCACACUUUAAGUCAUUCUAGCCCAAAUUGCUUAGGUAUGUCAGUAAAAUGCAUACAUUCUUCAUUAGCAAGUACAUGUGAAGCUGAAGAGAAAUCAUUGCAUUUCAGUAUUGGUGAAAACUCACAGGAUGGAAUAAACAGUGAAGAUAGUCAACAAUUACAUAAAUCAGUUAUGGUUGAAGAAGUUGUUGAAUUUUUAGCACCUCAAAAAGGACAGGUAAGUUGGAAUUUAUUUUCAAAGUAGACAAGCAUUUUUCAAAAUAUAAACCACAGAUUAUAAUAUAGACAUAAUAUUCUAUUCUGUAACAUAUAUUUGAGG